CCUACGGGUGGCAGCAGUGAGGAAUAUUGGUCAAUGGACGAGAGUCUGAACCAGCCAAGUAGCGUGAAGGAUGACUGCCCUAUGGGUUGUAAACUUCUUUUAUAUGGGAAUAAAAUGUUCCACGUGUGCGUUUUUGUAUGUACCAUAUGAAUAAGGAUCGGCUAACUCCGUGCCAGCAGCCGCGGUAAUACGGAGGAUCCGAGCGUUAUCCGGAUUUAUUGGGUUUAACGGGAGCGUAGGUGGGUUGUUAAGUCAGUUGUGAAAGUUUGCGGCUCAACCGUAAAAUUGCAGUUGAUACUGGCAGUCUUGAGUACAGUAGAGGUGGGCGGAAUUCGUGGUGUAGCGGUGAAAUGCUUAGAUAUCACGAAGAACUCCGAUUGCGAAGGCAGCUCACUGGACUGCGACUGACACUGAGGCUCGAAAGUGUGGGUAUCAAACAGGAUUAGAUACCCUUGUAGUC
rnacentral:rRNA from 1 species